UACGUAGGGGGCUAGCGUUGUCCGGAAUCAUUGGGCGUAAAGAGCGUGUAGGCGGCCCGGUAAGUCCGCUGUGAAAGUCGGGGGCUCAACCCUCGAAUGCCGGUGGAUACUGUCGGGCUAGAGUGCGGAAGAGGCGAGUGGAAUUCCUGGUGUAGCGGUGGAAUGCGCUGAUAUCAGGAGGAACACCAAUGGCGAAGGCAGCUCGCUGGGACGGUACUGACGCUGAGGCGCGAAAGCGUGGGGAGCAAACAGG
rnacentral:rRNA from 1 species